GUUUCCUAUGCUUAAUUGCUUAGUAUGCGCUUAAUGAAAAUUUUUCAAGGCAAGUUUUCAAGUUACUGAAUUUACCCGCCAUUCGAAUUCACAGAGGUUUUUCUUCUUCACCUUCCUUCGUCUCUCGCCGUCGCCGCCACUCACCAUCUCCGUCUCGUGCGCUCACCACCGUCGUCUCGUGAGCUCACCGUCGCAGCUCACAAUCGUCGUCUCGCGCGCUCACCGUCGCUGCUCCCAAUCGUCGCAAGCCUCCUUGGCUCAUCAUCGUAGCUCACAUCGUCGUCUCGUCGCUCACCAUCGUGCACUCACUAGAUAAUCAUUCUCUGAUUCACUCUCUAUCUUCUCUUUCUUGCUCAUUACCUCACUUCUUCUCUCGUUUCAGUGUCGAAGAAGGUGCGUGUGGCUAUGAUGAUGAUGAUGAUGAACAACAAUGGCCAAAAGAGACAGAGAUGGUAGCUGAAGUGAGACAGAGAGUUUCUAACAUGGCAGGGGUUACGAAAGAAGAAGUUCCAAUUAACACACUGAAGUCUUCUACUGAAGAUCAAGAGAAUCAGGAUAAGUCUGCUGCACUGAGCUUACUUAGCAUUCAAGGAACUGCAUUGAUGUCUAUUGCUGUUGGUUUUGUUGUAGUAGCAACGAUAUGAUGGACUUGAAGAUGAUCAUCAUCCAUUUGGUUGCUUCACUUGGGAAGAACUCUUCUUUUCUUGAUUCUUUUAAAUUUUGCUUAGUUUUCUCUUUCUCACUUUCUGAAAUGUCAAGAGUAUGCAUUGCUGUCUGAUUUGUUCUUUUCAACCUUUUGUUAGUAAAAUGUCUGAUAUGCUUUGAUUAAUUUGAUAUUAAAUUUCGCAAAACCUGUUCACCAUAAGUUCGGCAAAAUGUGAUAUUGAGGCAGGAAACUCUUCAGCUUGGGCCAGUUUAAGGGGUUUGGACUUCUGUGUUUUAUUUCUUCUAGAAACUUCAAUAUAAUAUAAUAUGAUACAUCAGUGUAAAUCCUAAACCCUUUUAAUGGUAGUUACUUAUCUGGAAGUCUUUUAAUACCUUUUAAAAGCCAUAUUUAUGGAUAAUUGCAGAGAAAUACUAAGAAUGCAAGCAUGGAAAAAGGGAAAUUAAAUUCAAUCUCUUCUCUAAGUCUCAACUAACUUGAUCUGUAUUAAUCAUCAUCCAUGUUCUUAGAGUUUAUUAACUCAAUGAUUGAUCUUGAACACAAGUUUUAUCAGAAACGUGAUUAAGCAACCAGAGCUGUUUACUUAUUCUAUUUCCUGGCAGCUUUCUCAUGUAAUUUCCCCUGAAAUUCGAAUGAGUUCUAUUCCACUGUUUGAUAAAUGGUCCCUGGGAUUUUAUCUUGUAUGUGUUACUUUUUCAGGAGAUUUUGAAGGGCAAGUUCGGUUCAGGUUUAUCAGUGAUCAUAAAGUCUUGUUGUUUUCUCCUAAGUAUUUUGUUGAAGUUUUCACCCCAUUACUUGUAAAAUUAUCCUGUCAGCUGCAUUCACUCGGAUGUGUGCCACUUCUGUGGAAACAAUUAGUCUUACAACUUGGGCCUAGUGUCAAUUGUGAUACUAACUAGCUCGUUGGCAUUUCAACUGUCAGUUAUGAUCUUGUGUUAUUCUCAUUUUCAUUGUUGUAUCUUUUCUUACCUUCUCUUCCACUUUAUAUUAAAAACCUUGUUUGGCUAGAGAUUUCUAUGUAUAUCCUUGCUGCCUACUUCAAUUAUGCAUUCUUUUAUUAAUAAUAUGCUGAGUUACUUAUCCAAAAGUGGGGAAAAAAUAAUUUUCUGCAGACUGAACAGAAGCAAUGAGGCUUGGUAUCAAUGGACCUUGGAUCACCAAAUCAUAUCUUGAAAUGAUCCUUGAUAAAAAAAGGUGUUCCUCAUCAUAAGAAGACGCAUGGUUUUCAAGUGUUUAUUUGUUCUGGAACCUAAUGUGACCAAGUGUUUAUUUAUUCUGUUGUUUUUGAUAAAUUCCUGCAAAACAUGUGCAUGCUUACACAAGGAUUAACAGCUUCAAUUUUUUUUUAAAAAAUUUACUAAUAUAAGAUUAUCUCCUUGCUUCAGAAUUAUUUGAAUUGAUUACAUAUGAAACUCUAUCUCAUGUAUCAAUAAAUGCCUUGCUCAUUGGUCACUGAUUGAGAAGACUAGAAGACUAGAAGAAAUACAUUUGUGCCUGGAAGUCAAGGCACUGCAAUCAUUGCACCAAAACCAAUUCGCGCGACUCCUGACCUUGUUACCGGAUUGGAGGAUUUGUCUCGGCCAUGGACUCGAUCCCUCAACUGAUCAAAUGGCUAUUUGCUCGCAAAACCUCUGUUAAAUUGUCUUUGUAAAGUUCUAGUCCAAACACAGUAGGAGAGAGAGGGGGGGGAGAGCCAGAAGAGAUUGUUUGUAACCCGCAUUCUGUAUUAUACAUUUAUUUUUAUUUUAUAAUAUUUGAUUAA